rnacentral:sRNA from 1 species
GCCGGGCAUGGUGGCGCAUGCCUGUAGUCCCAGAUACUCGGGAGGCUGAGGCAGCAGGAUUGCUUGAGCCCAGGAGUUUGAGGUUGCUAUGAGCUAGGAUGACGCCAUGGCACUCACUCUAGCCUGGGCAACAAAGCGAGACUCUGUCUCAAAAAAAAAAAAAAAAAAAUUACUGGUUGUUUACUAGUAUGUAUUUUUCCUUUUGAGACAGAGUCUUGGUUUGUUGCCCUGGCUAGAGUGCUGUGGCAUCAGCCUGGUUCACAGCAACCUCAAACUCCUGGGCUCAAGCAAUCCUUCUGCCUCA